AAAUUGAAGAGUUUGAUCAUGGCUCAGAUUGAACGCUGGCGGCAGGCCUAACACAUGCAAGUCGAGCGGUAGCACAGAGAGCUUGCUCUCGGGUGACGAGCGGCGGACGGGUGAGUAAUGUCUGGGAAACUGCCUGAUGGAGGGGGAUAACUACUGGAAACGGUAGCUAAUACCGCAUAAUGUCGCAAGACCAAAGUGGGGGACCUUCGGGCCUCAUGCCAUCAGAUGUGCCCAGAUGGGAUUAGCUGGUAGGUGGGGUAACGGCUCACCUAGGCGACGAUCCCUAGCUGGUCUGAGAGGAUGACCAGCCACACUGGAACUGAGACACGGUCCAGACUCCUACGGGAGGCAGCAGUGGGGAAUAUUGCACAAUGGGCGCAAGCCUGAUGCAGCCAUGCCGCGUGUGUGAAGAAGGCCUUCGGGUUGUAAAGCACUUUCAGCGGGGAGGAAGGCGGUGAGGUUAAUAACCUCAUCGAUUGACGUUACCCGCAGAAGAAGCACCGGCUAACUCCGUGCCAGCAGCCGCGGUAAUACGGAGGGUGCAAGCGUUAAUCGGAAUUACUGGGCGUAAAGCGCACGCAGGCGGUCUGUCAAGUCGGAUGUGAAAUCCCCGGGCUCAACCUGGGAACUGCAUUCGAAACUGGCAGGCUAGAGUCUUGUAGAGGGGGGUAGAAUUCCAGGUGUAGCGGUGAAAUGCGUAGAGAUCUGGAGGAAUACCGGUGGCGAAGGCGGCCCCCUGGACAAAGACUGACGCUCAGGUGCGAAAGCGUGGGGAGCAAACAGGAUUAGAUACCCUGGUAGUCCACGCUGUAAACGAUGUCGAUUUGGAGGUUGUGCCCUUGAGGCGUGGCUUCCGGAGCUAACGCGUUAAAUCGACCGCCUGGGGAGUACGGCCGCAAGGUUAAAACUCAAAUGAAUUGACGGGGGCCCGCACAAGCGGUGGAGCAUGUGGUUUAAUUCGAUGCAACGCGAAGAACCUUACCUGGUCUUGACAUCCACAGAACUUUCCAGAGAUGGAUUGGUGCCUUCGGGAACUGUGAGACAGGUGCUGCAUGGCUGUCGUCAGCUCGUGUUGUGAAAUGUUGGGUUAAGUCCCGCAACGAGCGCAACCCUUAUCCUUUGUUGCCAGCGGUUAGGCCGGGAACUCAAAGGAGACUGCCAGUGAUAAACUGGAGGAAGGUGGGGAUGACGUCAAGUCAUCAUGGCCCUUACGACCAGGGCUACACACGUGCUACAAUGGCAUAUACAAAGAGAAGCGACCUCGCGAGAGCAAGCGGACCUCAUAAAGUAUGUCGUAGUCCGGAUUGGAGUCUGCAACUCGACUCCAUGAAGUCGGAAUCGCUAGUAAUCGUAGAUCAGAAUGCUACGGUGAAUACGUUCCCGGGCCUUGUACACACCGCCCGUCACACCAUGGGAGUGGGUUGCAAAAGAAGUAGGUAGCUUAACCUUCGGGAGGGCGCUUACCACUUUGUGAUUCAUGACUGGGGUGAAGUCGUAACAAGGUAACCGUAGGGGAACCUGCGGUUGGAUCACCUCCUUACCUUAAAGAA
rnacentral:rRNA from 1 species